rnacentral:rRNA from 1 species
UACGUAGGUCCCGAGUGUUGUCCGGAUUUAUUGGGCGUAAAGCGAGCGCAGGUGGUUUAUUAAGUCUGGUGUAAAAGGCAGUGGCUCAACCAUUGUAUGCAUUGGAAACUGGUAGACUUGAGUGCAGGAGAGGAGAGUGGAAUUCCAUGUGUAGCGGUGAAAUGCGUAGAUAUAUGGAGGAACACCGGUGGCGAAAGCGGCACUCUGGCCUGUAACUGACACUGAGGCUCGAAAGCGUGGGGAGCAAACAGG